GACGAACGCUGGCGGCGUGCUUAACACAUGCAGGUCGAACGGAAAGGCCCUGCUUUUGUGGGGUGCUCGAGUGGCGAACGGGUGAGUAACACGUGAGUAACCUGCCCUUGACUUUGGGAUAACUUCAGGAAACUGGGGCUAAUACCGGAUAGGAGCUCCUGCUGCAUGGUGGGGGUUGGAAAGUUUCGGCGGUUGGGGAUGGACUCGCGGCUUAUCAGCUUGUUGGUGGGGUAGUGGCUUACCAAGGCUUUGACGGGUAGCCGGCCUGAGAGGGUGACCGGCCACAUUGGGACUGAGAUACGGCCCAGACUCCUACGGGAGGCAGCAGUGGGGAAUAUUGCACAAUGGGCGGAAGCCUGAUGCAGCAACGCCGCGUGCGGGAUGACGGCCUUCGGGUUGUAAACCGCUUUCGCCUGUGACGAAGCGUGAGCGACGGUAAUGGGUAAAGAAGCACCGGCUAACUACGUG
rnacentral:rRNA from 1 species